CAUAGGUUAAUGAGGCGAACCGGGGGAACUGAAACAUCUAAGUACCCCGAGGAAAAGAAAUCAACCGAGAUUCCCCCAGUAGCGGCGAGCGAACGGGGAGGAGCCCAGAGCCUGAAUCAGUGUGUGUGUUAGUGGAAGCGUCUGGAAAGGCGCGCGAUACAGGGUGACAGCCCCGUACACAAAAAUGCACAUGCUGUGAGCUCGAUGAGUAGGGCGGGACACGUGGUAUCCUGUCUGAAUAUGGGGGGACCAUCCUCCAAGGCUAAAUACUCCUGACUGACCGAUAGUGAACCAGUACCGUGAGGGAAAGGCGAAAAGAACCCCGGCGAGGGGAGUGAAAAAGAACCUGAAACCGUGUACGUACAAGCAGUGGGAGCCUCUUAAUGGGGUGACUGCGUACCUUUUGUAUAAUGGGUCAGCGACUUAUAUUCUGUAGCAAGGUUAACCGAAUAGGGGAGCCGAAGGGAAACCGAGUCUUAACUGGGCGUUAAGUUGCAGGGUAUAGACCCGAAACCCGGUGAUCUAGCCAUGGGCAGGUUGAAGGUUGGGUAACACUAACUGGAGGACCGAACCGACUAAUGUUGAAAAAUUAGCGGAUGACUUGUGGCUGGGGGUGAAAGGCCAAUCAAACCGGGAGAUAGCUGGUUCUCCCCGAAAGCUAUUUAGGUAGCGCCUCGUGAAUUCAUCUCCGGGGGUAGAGCACUGUUUCGGCAAGGGGGUCAUCCCGACUUACCAACCCGAUGCAAACUGCGAAUACCGGAGAAUGUUAUCACGGGAGACACACGGCGGGUGCUAACGUCCGUCGUGAAGAGGGAAACAACCCAGACCGCCAGCUAAGGUCCCAAAGUCAUGGUUAAGUGGGAAACGAUGUGGGAAGGCCCAGACAGCCAGGAUGUUGGCUUAGAAGCAGCCAUCAUUUAAAGAAAGCGUAAUAGCUCACUGGUCGAGUCGGCCUGCGCGGAAGAUGUAACGGGGCUAAACCAUGCACCGAAGCUGCGGCAGCGACACUAUGUGUUGUUGGGUAGGGGAGCGUUCUGUAAGCCUGUGAAGGUGGCCUGUGAGGGUUGCUGGAGGUAUCAGAAGUGCGAAUGCUGACAUAAGUAACGAUAAAGCGGGUGAAAAGCCCGCUCGCCGGAAGACCAAGGGUUCCUGUCCAACGUUAAUCGGGGCAGGGUGAGUCGACCCCUAAGGCGAGGCCGAAAGGCGUAGUCGAUGGGAAACAGGUUAAUAUUCCUGUACUUGGUGUUACUGCGAAGGGGGGACGGAGAAGG
rnacentral:rRNA from 1 species